rnacentral:rRNA from 1 species
UCCGUAGGUGGAUAAUUAAGUCAGAGGUGAAAUCCUGCAGCUCAACUGUAGAAUUGCCUUUGAUACUGGUUAUCUUGAGUCAUUAUGAAGUGGUUAGAAUGUGUAGUGUAGCGGUGAAAUGCAUAGAUAUUACACAGAAUACCGAUUGCGAAGGCAGAUCACUAAUAAUGUACUGACACUGAGGGACGAGAGCGUGGGGAGCGAACAGGAUUAGAUACCCUGGUAGUCC